rnacentral:lncRNA from 1 species
AUGCCCUCAUUUUUCUAACUAAUCCUUUACAAUUAUAAAAUAGUUCUCCAAUAUCUUCUGAUUAAUAAAAAAAGAAUCAUAGCAAAGACUAGGGAGAUAGAGAAGUCAAGAGUUGUGGAUGAAAUACUAACAAAAAAAGGUUAAGAUAUGUAAAAAUAAGUAUAAAACAUAGAUGGAGUAUUUUAGAAAAUCAAGUCUAGUUAGUUUUUACAGAAGUCAUUGCCACAAUCAUGUAUUAUCCCUGGCUACACCUGGGCUUUUAUCACCAUGCUUUCUCUCUUCCUCAUACGCUCUCAUGCAAGUCCUUCUCUUUGUGUUACCUGAGCCCUCUUUAAUCAUCAAGCUGGAAAACCUUUCUAGUUAUGAUUCAAAAUCUAUAAGCCAUAUAAAAGUAUUGAAUUCAGUGAAGAAAAAAAGAAAAUGAAGAAAAAUCUGCACAACAAAAAAAAGGAAUGUGAAAAGACAAAUGGCAGCA